GGAUGAUAUUCUAAGUACACGCCUUAGUGACUAAACUGGAUAAGUCAAUUCUAAGAAAGUAGUAAUCCCAAAAUAGAAGAGCCCUUUGACUUUGUUUAGCAGGGGAAAUGUGCACUUCUAUUAGGAGGUUUGCCAUUUACUCUCGAGUUUUCUUAUCCAGCUUAGUAAAACAUGGACUUGGAAUAUCCCCCAUGGGUAGAAAGUUGACUGGAUAUUUUAGUGUUUACUUACAGGUAACACUUCCUUCUUUGGGUACUUUUUAAGCCUCAACAUAAUCUGGUUCCCAUGUAUGUGCAUGUGAAGUGGUUUCACAUGGCAGGACUGUACAGGUGGAGGUUUGUGGCAAUGCAAAAGUUGAAGUCCUGGCCGGGAGUUUCCCCACCAUAAAAUGAGGCAACUCUGCAAUGUGAAAUUUCCCUUCACUCACCCACCCUCCCACUGUCCACUGUUGUCAGUCUUGAUUGGAGCAUCCAGCGGAUAUUUCUCCAAUACAGACAGAUGGAUGGUCAGAUGUGGUGUCAUUCUACGCCUGUGUUCACGCUGCGAGGCAGAUCCAGGACUUCUAGAAAGAAAGACAUCGGGUCAGUCUGACAGGCAGAGAUAGAGAGAGCGCUUCACCCAGGGUCAUGGCCGAGGGGGGCCUGCUCACCCGGUCUUUGUUGGGCGCCAGCACGUUCAAGGCCACCUGAUAAACAGACUGCCAGCCAGCGUAGGGAAGAAAGUGCUCCACAGAGGCCACAGGAUCUGCCCUGAACUUGACUUCCCCACUUCACGUGCCAGAGAGGUGGACCAAUGUAUGAUGUAAACAACAUCACCUGAAAGGCUCAAUCCACACAAACGUCAAGAAAACGUCUUGAGUCUCUUGAUCAAAUGGGCCAGUGACUAUUCCCCUCUGCUCUGAGGGUGUUGAAGGCUCUUCUCCCAGAGCGCCUGAGGAAAUGUGAUGACUCGGAGUUCCCAGAACUGGAUGCUCUACAGAGAGAGAGCCCGAGAGAGAGAGUCCGACAGGCCAUGCUGUGGUCCACAAGCUGACCUCUCCCCCACAUGUUUGAUCAGAUUGUUUUUCUCCCUGCGGCCGAGCGAGAGCCUGGCCACUCCACUCCACGCGGUGCCGAGCAACUCGAUGGACAGCGUCAGCAGCACUGAUGAAGAUGAGGAGAGAAGGGAGGGGUGGACCGGGUGGGAGUGGGGUGGGAGCUAGAAGAGCAGAACAGGCUUUUGCUGAAGAGAGGAGCGGAGAGAAAAAGCAAGCAAGCAAGCGAGCACUCUGGUUACUCAGUAACCCAGGGCAACAGACUUGCCACUCACCUUUCCCCUAAUACCCCCCUCACCUCCGAGACCACGUGAAGAACGGCUGCAUGCUGACACCCCACACUGUGCUGCUCACACACACACACACACACACACACACACACACACACACUCAAUCACAUCCAACACAUCACACUGUGCACGUACACACACUGACACCCUGCACAAGGCUGCUAACACACACACUAGCAUUAAACUCAACUGAACCACACACUGAAGCCUUUUUGUUGUACUGUUCACAUAUACACACACAGACAUACUGACACUCUGCUUUGCUUAUACACACCCAUAAACAUAAACACCCACACACACACACACACACACACACACACUGUACACAUACACAAACUGGCACACCUGCACCACAUCUCAGAACUCACAUGUGCAUCCAUCUCAGAACUUGCACACCAUGGAAGAGGACCGCACUCAUCUCCAGACAGGCAGGAAAUUAUAUUUAAAACAAAACAUGAUUAGAAUUUACUUUUCUCUCCAUUCUCUGGCUCAGCGCUGCAUGCGAGCCUCAGUGUCUCAUAGCGAGACUUAGACCCAAACCUCCUCAGGGAGAAUGCAGGAGAUGCAAUUAGCAUUGAGAUCAUUUCUGCUGAUAAUGGGCUGCCGUGUUACCUAAUACACGCACAGAGAGAGACAAUGAGAGAAAGACAGAGAUAGAAUGAUAGAGCUUUGUAUCCCCAUUCAACCUCAGAGUGGUGCUGUGAGUGACUCAAAGGUGUAUUUCACAAGAUGGCCGUUUAAACGGGUGGCGUCACUGUCAUCAUACAGUACGCACUCUGAGGGCGACACAGAACCACAUACCGUAACGUGAAUAGCUGAAUACACAAAUACCGUGUGGCUUACUCCACUCCCCGGAAGAAGUAUUCUUUGAAACACAUCUGGCCCGGGUCUGGUAUGAGCUCUGCCCAGAGUCAGAUGCCAACAGCACUGAAGAUUACGGUGAGUCUCAGUCGGGACUGCGUAGGUGGCAGACCUGUAGCGCCUUCAGUGACUCAUUAAGAAGAAAGCAGUGUAUGGGAGGGGCAGUGUACUCUGUCACACACACACACACACACACACACACACACACACACUCAAAAAAAGCUGCACCCAGUAUGACAUCAUCACUAAUCCCACAUGGCUUAAACACACACUAACAGACGCACACACUUAGUCGCGCACACGCUGCUACACACUCUCACACACGUCCAGACUGGCAAUGGGGAAGGUGGUGAAAGAUGCUGUGCUAAUUCAGGGCCUGGUUGAAGAGGAGAACCAGACUGAUCCGGUCCGACCCCAGCUCAAACCUCCCUCUGCCGCCCGCCGCGGAAGGGCGUGACCGGUAUGGGAUGUUGGCCGUGAAGACUGCACAGCAGCAGCCGCACGCUGUGUGCGUUCUCUCUCUCUCUCUCUCUGAAAAAUAAGGCCCGAGCUCUUUGGCUUCAGGUUGCAUGUGAAAGCAGGCCCUUGCCAUCUUAUCACCUUAAACAAAAGGGGCUGUCUAUUUGAUUUGUUCCCCCCCACAAAACUCAAGAGUGUUGAUGUUUUUGGUAUGGAUCCCUGGUGAGGGUAAAGACAGAUAAGAACUGAGGGGGUAGUCAUGAAUGAGCCUGUGUGUGGGGAAUGCUGUGGUUUUAUCUCAGAUAUCUAUACCGUACCCACAUCCAUCCAAUAAAACAAUGCCAGUAAGACUGACUCAGAGGAGAAAAUGGCUGUUGGGAGAUGACAGUUAAUGUAAAGAAUGUUUGUGAUAAUAGGUCUCUGAGUUUGCAGACAUCGGCAACCCUUUCAGAGCGUUCUCAAUGUUUUUCGGUAGGUCGUAGCAUGGCUGUCAAUCAGUGUGACCGAAUAAAUAAUGAUCCCUUGAUGGCCAGCAAGCUGGACUCAUUAUCAUGGCAGAACCUGACCUGUCUGCCCAAACCUGUCUCGUCUUUGGCACCACUAAUUGUAGUUUACUGAGCGCUGUUUUCCUGCUGUGAUGAUACUAGACGGUUACGGAUAUUGUGAUCUGGAAAACAUCUUGCACCAUGUGACGCAAAAAUAACUGGUUCAGUGUAGUCCCAGACCUACACUCAUUUUGUACUAGGGUAGAAUAUGCUUAGAUGUGGUAUUCAGACUGAUAGUCGCAUCUUUCUAAUGCUGUCAGUGAAGCCGAUCACAUUUUUAGGACAUAUUCUUGGAGUCGUUUCUUUAGCGGUCAGUUACUGUGGUUUCAUUGCAGAGGCGGCCAGCAGCUUCGAUGAAAUUCUGGUAUGAUAACUACACCACAAGGCCAUUAGUGCUGGAAAGUGGCAGCGGGACAGUUUUCAUUGCCAUUCCCCUUAACCCAAUGUUUCUCAAUGAAUAGCGCUGACCCAGGGUCUUCUCAUUCACCACCCUACAGGAGUAAUUGCUUUGAAAAUGAGGGCAAGUUGCCUCAAAAGCUGUCUGGAGUGCGACUGUGAUGCAGUGCCGUCUUCGCCUGCUUUGUUCUCUCUCUCACACACUCUCGCUGCUCGCCAGUCGGGUGAGGCUGAGAGGCGAAAGCAGAAUGCAGCCGUCUGUCGUGAGUCAUGCCCUCUGUGCGGCCAGUUGUGGAUGUUUACUCACCGUAUGAAUCAUGCGACCCGCAGAGAAGCAAAGUCUUUUGGGCAGCUGUCUCAACACGCAGGAGUUCCAGCUUCACACCGAGUUGGAUGGAGGGGGGGGGGGGACUUAUUUUCAAUGGGCUUGUCCUGGUGCGUGGGUAUUCAACAUUUUAACUGUGUUUUUUUCCCCUUGUGUGCGACUUCUUCAUUGACUCCAUUCCA